UUAGCCGGGCGUGGUGGCGGGCGCCUGAAGUCCCAGCUACUCCGGAGGCUGAGGCAGGAAAAUGGCCUGAACCUGGGAGGCGGAGCUUGCAGUGAGCUGAGAUUGCGCCGCUGCACUCCAGCCUAGGCGACAGAGCGAGACUCAGAUCUAAAAAAAAAAAAAGGAACUAAGAAAAGCAUGUGCGUAGACCUGGACAGACGAAAGAGCAGACACUAGGAAACGGCCACGUUACUUCUGUUGGGGAUAUUCGGGGUGGAGAAGAGCCACUGUGGGUGAGAGGAAGGGAUGAAGCAAGGAUCUGAUGACUUGCAACUUAACUAAGGAGAAGAAAAAAUCAAGAGGGACAGAGAGAGAAACAGAUAAUGUUCUUCAUAGAUCUCUUUCUAACUGUGUCAUCCUGUCAUUGAACUCCCA
rnacentral:lncRNA from 10 species